GAGCUCACUUCAGCAACACAUCCACUAAAAUUGAACCAAUACAGAGAAGAUUAACAUGGCCCCUGCACAGGAACUUCAUUAAACUCUUUAAGAAAGCGAUCUGUUCU
ensembl:snRNA U6 U6 spliceosomal RNA